rnacentral:rRNA from 1 species
UACAGAGGUCUCAAGCGUUGUUCGGAUUCAUUGGGCGUAAAGGGUGCGUAGGCGGCGCGGUAAGUCGGGUGUGAAAUCUCGGAGCUUAACUCCGAAACUGCAUUCGAUACUGCCGUGCUUGAGGACUGGAGAGGAGACUGGAAUUCAUGGUGUAGCAGUGAAAUGCGCAGAUAUCAGGAGGAACACCGAUGGCGAAGGCAGGUCUCUGGGCCGAUACUGACGUGAGGAGCGAAAGCGUGGGGAGCGAACAGG